CCCUCUCCCGCCUCCUCAUCCCCGGGGCUGGGAGACCUCAACUCACAUUCUAUUGCCAGGCUGUGUCAUUUUCCGUGGUGGAGAGCUUGCUCGGUUAACUUGCCUGGAGAAGGGGCUUUGAAAUCUCUGUGCCCCCUGAGUAGGUGGAUUCUACUUCUGGGCCUCAGUUUCAUCAGCUAGGACUGUGUCAAACUUUACUGUUUCCAGUGUCCUCGGGACCAGGAAGAGUAUCUCCAUAGAUCUGUUUCAUUGUAAAGAUGACAACCAUGGAGGGGCUGAUGCCUCAGGCCUGUAAUCCCGGUUGCUUGGGAAAUUGAGAUAGGAUCACAAGUUCAAGGCCAGAAAAGGAAAAUGCUGCGGUUCCCAGUGGAUGUGGGUCACUGACUUUCCUUGGUGCUAGCCACAUUCCUCAGUUCUGAGUGGAGAAGGACUUUGGUGGGGACAAAGAAGGUUGACCUGACAGACAGUUUCUAUACUUAACAUAUUCUUGGCCUCUCUCUUGCUGAGUUGCUCUGGGUUACAGAAUGUUUUGAGGAUUAUAGACAUUUUCAAAAAACAAAUAAACAUGAAUCCAUGACA